UGGGGAAUAUUGCACAAUGGGGGAAACCCUGAUGCAGCAACGCCGCGUGAGUGAAGAAGUAUUUCGGUAUGUAAAGCUCUAUCAGCAGGGAAGAAAGUGACGGUACCUGACUAAGAAGCCCCGGCUAACUACGUGCCAGCAGCCGCGGUAAUACGUAGGGGGCGAGCGUUAUCCGGAUUUACUGGGUGUAAAGGGAGCGUAGGCGGUUUUGCAAGUCAGAAGUGAAAGCCCGGGGCUUAACCCCGGGACUGCUUUUGAAACUGUAAGACUGGAUUGCAGGAGAGGUAAGUGGAAUUCCUGGUGUAGCGGUGAAAUGCGUAGAUAUCAGGAGGAACACCGGUGGCGAAGGCGGCUUACUGGACUGUAAAUGACGCUGAGGCUCGAAAGCGUGGGGAGCAAACAGG
rnacentral:rRNA from 1 species